CAGAAGAUAAUUUAAAUAAAAUGUUAACAUUGGAAGUUAGUAAUUAAGUUUCGUACUUAUCUUUUGA
rnacentral:tRNA from 1 species